ACUCAACACCGCAAGAUUUCAAAAGGGAAAUUCCUCCAGGGCUGAGUCACAGGGAAGAAAGCGAUUUCCUCCGCCUCUUCCAAAGCGGUUGUGGGGCUAGACAAGAAGGAAAAAAAUCACUGUCCUCAUGGAAGUUAAAUUGUACUGACAAAGGAGGAAAAUGUCAGGGAGUUAACAAUUCAGUCUCUGUGGCUUCCUCCUGUCCUCUCCCUGAAACUGAGAUCCAGCCAAUCUGCACAUUUAUUCUGAGAGUGGCCCCACUUUAAUGACUACACCCAGCUGUCUACACACCAGGAGGGGAGGGAACUGUAUCCUGAGGCACCAACCCGAUUACCCACCCAACAGCCACAGGGACUUCCAGUGACUGGGGCAUCAUCCUCAAUGCCACCAACCCCUCUCCUUCCUGUGGCUUUUCUAACUGGAACUGGAACUCAGAAAGUACAUUAAUCACCAAUUUGGGAAGCUAUAGGAAAGUAUGUUUUCUAAUAUACAGUGAGAGAAUGUGACUGAUAAAACCAAUUUUCUUGAGACUUUCUCCCUGGAAAGUGAAUAUAUGUAUUCAUAGGGCCUUCACAAGCACAGACUAACAAGCAAAGAGCUACAUUCACUGGGAAGGAAGACUCAAAAUUUAAAAAUAGAAAAAAAAAUGAUGGCCCAGAAGAGCAAGUUCAGAGUGCUGUUCAUGAGUGAUCCGCAUGGGACCGCGAUGCCUCUGACGUCUGCCAUCCUGGAGAGCAGCAGAGCGUCACUAGCAGGUCCUCGUCUUCUCACUUCAUAACAUUCUUUCCAAAAGUCUUGUUGACAUUCUUCUGUCUUCCACAUAUAGUUUAUCUUCUUGAACUCAUUAUAACUUUAAAAUAUUUUUACUGUGUUACAUGUACUGCUUAUAUUUGUUUAUUUUAUAAUUAUUAAUUUUAAAUUGUGCACUUUAUUUUGCUCUAACAAUAAAAUUGACAUGUUCGUAUAGAUGAUACAUAAUUUUUCGCUUGGAUCGGAAAGUGUAAAAUUUUUUUCCUGACUCAAUUUCCUGUAUCAACUUUCUCAAAAAGUCUGGAGGAGGGAUUUUACAACACUUCAUAAGAUUUUCAAGAUUAUAUUUUAGUGAUCAGAUUUUUCUCCCCCUUAUGCAGCUGUAUUUUCUUUCACUUUUUUUUAACUGUAUAUAUAUAUUUUUUAUUUUCUCAGUUCCACCUAUGUGGACAAUUAAUUGUCACCAUCUUAAAUAAACUGAUCAGGCCAGGUGUGGUGGCUCAUGCCUGUAAUUCCAGCACUUUGGGAGGCCGAGGCGAGUGGAUCAUUUGAGGCCAGAAGUUUGAGACCAGCCUGGCCAACAAAGUGAAACCCCAUCUCUACUAAAAAUACAAAAAUAGGCUGGGCAUGGUGGCACAUGCCUGUAAUCCCAGCUACUCAUGAGACUGAGGCAAGAGAAUUGCUUGAACCCGGGAGGCAGAGGUUGCAGUCAGCUGAGAUCAUGCCACUGCACUCCAGCCUGGGUGACAGAGUGAGACUUUGUCUCAGAAAAAAAAAAAAAAAAAAAAAAAGAAAAGAAAAAAAAAAAAAAAAAGAAACUGACCAAAUCCUUGAUUAUUCCUUUCAUUUCUUCCUGUAGGCUAAAUUGUAUUUCCCAUGGGAUUUUCUAAGGGUCCUUGAUUAUCAGAUGUCAGAUUGUGAUUGAUAGGCCGGAUCUCAGAGAACCUGGAACAGGAUAGGUCUCUGAAAAGAUCAGUCUCCAGCAGAUUUUCCUGAGUAGAAUUAAAACACCUUGAGUUAGUACUUCAAUGAUCAUGGCAGCCCCCUUCAAGCAGUUAGAGAAAUGAGAAAUGAUCAGGACUCAGAAUAUCAUUCUGGUUUCCAGAAUCCCAGAUUGUUAUUUUCCUGAUACGUUGGAGAUGUUCUUGUGGGUACAGAAAAAAUGUCCAGAGAACCUACAUUAGGGAACCAAAGAAUGAAGCGGGGUGCAGAGUCCCAGAGAAGGAAGUUUUGGGGAAGGUGUAGAUAGGGCACUUGCCAAUCAUGUUAUAAGAGGAGAGGUAUUCAGAGGCACGGUCAGGGGGAUUCUGACUUGUUCAGGGGCCACCUUCAAGGGGAUGGGGCUUGGAAGAGAGGGGAUGGCCCAGAACUCAUUUCUUUUGCAAUCCAUUGCCUAAAACUCACUGUCAGGUGACACAGAGAUGACUCUUUCUUUGCAACAUGUGCUUGGCAACCUCCGGGACCCAUCGCGCCCUGUUCCCAGUCUCCACCUCUCAGUACCAGCUCCCUGACAGGAGUUCCCUCUGGCCCAUAGAGCAGAUAGUCAGAUCUCUGUGGGAUAUCUGGCUGCCUGAAUGUCCAUGGAUCACACGCUUGUUCUGUUCAGAAGAAAUCAGUCUCAGCCAAACAGGAAGACAAGUGUUUCACGGACAUAAGAAAUUUAAAGUGGAAGCACUUUCUAGAGCACACAAAACAGCCUCCCUAACACAUGAGAAGUCACCAGCAACACAGAAAUCACCAACAAGUAGGUCACCACAUUUUUAAAGAUCAUAGGAAAUUGUUCACGCCAACAAAUCUCAGUGAACCUCAGCUCUCAGCCUUGAAAACAAGGAUGGCUGUACUACUCACUUUUUUCUUCUUCUUCCCUAACCAGAUCACUGGGGAAUGGGCAGCAGGAAAUCAAAUCAUUAUCUUUUAAUCAUUUUGCUUCUAUUACAAGUGGAAACACUGACCUCAUGCAUCACUGAGCCUGGAUUGCAUGAUAAGCCCUGGGCUUUCCUGUUUCUCAUGUUUCCUUAGUUACUGGAUAUUCACUGACUGCCUCCCAUAGGUGACUUGUGAAAAGGGAGGCUCGGGGAAGUACGCAGUACGGUUCCCACUGCAGUGUGCUCCGCUGUUUCUGUUUCCCUGACUUACCUCUUUUCAGCUCCUCUUCCUGGGCAGGCCUACAGCCACAGCAAGAAGCAAUCCCCAAACAAGCAGUGUUUUCCACAAAAACGUCAUCCUGGACUCUAAAAUGGAAACCCAAGAAUCCCUUGAAACUGUGAAACUGGGACAAUAUUAAGAUUGUACUUUUCAUCUGAGCAGCUUCUAGGCUGGAGAGAAGGGAGAGAAUUUGGCCUCCCAGGAAGCAGUUGGCCUGCUCCUCCCUGCUCUGGAGAUGCAGAGGAGAGAAUGCAAGUAUUUCAUGUUUGCUCGUCUCAGAAAUGUACACAUGCACAGACAAGUUUUCCCUUCUCUCUUCCAACUAUAUCACACAAUCACUGGAAUGACUUGAGGAGGAAAGGAUAAAAUUACUCAAGCCGCAACCAUGAAGAUGGUAUUAAUAAAAAUCAGUUUCUAAUCCAGAAGAAAAUCCUCCAUGAGGGGGAAAACACAAAGUUCUGUAAUUUAAUUGUUUUCACAUCAGAAGAAGAGAAUUUAAAGAGAGAGAGUGAAAACAGGGUCAAUUACGAGAAUUUAGUGUGUAUCCAAUGAUAAAAAUAAUUGCAGGGCGCUAGUUGAGGGUGUCAGAGAGAAACUCAGAGGAGUAGAAUCCCUGGGUGUCCUGAAAACCAGCUUUGCAGAGGAUAGCAGGAGACCUCGUCAGAGAUCAGCAAAUAAAAAUCACAAAGGAAGAAGAGC
rnacentral:lncRNA from 1 species